rnacentral:rRNA from 1 species
UACAGAGGUCCCGAGCGUUGUUCGGAUUCACUGGGCGUAAAGGGUGCGUAGGUGGCGGGGUAAGUUGGAUGUGAAAUCCCGGGGCUCAACCCCGGAACUGCAUUCAAUACUGCUCUGCUAGAGUACUGGAGAGGAGAUUGGAAUUCAUGGUGUAGCAGUGAAAUUCGUAGAUAUCAAGCGGAACACCGGUGGCGAAGGCGGCCUUCUGGACAGUGACUGACGCUGAGACGCGAAUGCGUGGGGAGCAAACAGG